rnacentral:tRNA from 1 species
GUCCCUAUAGCGCAAUGGAUAGCGCAUUGGACUUCUAAUCCAAAGGUCGUGGGUUUGAAUCCUACCUGGGAUG